rnacentral:rRNA from 1 species
UACGUAGGGUGCAAGCGUUAAUCGGAAUUACUGGGCGUAAAGCGUGCGCAGGCGGUUUUGUAAGUCUGUCGUGAAAUCCCCGGGCUCAACCUGGGAAUUGCGAUGGAGACUGCGAGGCUAGAGUUUGGCAGAGGGGGGUAGAAUUCCACGUGUAGCAGUGAAAUGCGUAGAGAUGUGGAGGAACACCGAUGGCGAAGGCAGCCCCCUGGGUCAAAACUGACGCUCAUGCACGAAAGCGUGGGGAGCAAACAGG